AUCUAUGACUAUACCACCCUGAAGGUGCCUGAUCUCAUCUGAUCUUAGAAGCUAAGCAGGGUCAGGCCUGGUUAGUACUUGGAUGGGAGAAAAGCGAUGCCCCAAGGAUCCUGUGACACACAGGUAGCUGUGUAUC
rnacentral:rRNA from 1 species